GUUAAUCUACAAAUGGGCUGGUAAAAUCAAUCCUUUUCUUCCUCUGCUAAUUCUGAUUAGAAAGUAUUUGCAGAGAUAAUUGUUGCUGUUGUAUUUUUCAGAACUAGUCUCAGUUUCAUGAUUCUCUCACACACUCUGACUACUUUGAUUACCUUAUCUAACCAUUUCUCUACCAGAAGUAUUACCUACAUCUCUCAUGCCAUCACUAUCGCCCACCCAGAAUUUAUAUCUUUGUUCCUUAGUCAUGAGAAUUCAAGCUGAGCCUCCCUUCCAUCUUAUCUUUUGCACACAGCACACAUCUACAUACCUUCAUUGUAGCACUUCAACAAUCUCACCAGACCUACCUUCAUUGAUUGUGGCUGUUCUUGAGUUGUGGAUUCAUUGGGAAGAGCAAGAGAGUAGUGUCUGAAAAGAAGGCGGCUUGUGCAAAGUUUGUGUAGAAGCAGAGAGCUCUUGCACGUGUCUAAAUAAUAAUGAUUAAUAUUAUUAUAUAUGUGUGUGUAUGUAUCUAUAUGUGUGUGUGCAUACAUAUUAGAAAAAUAAAAUCUUGGGUGACAUUUGAUCUUUGCAUGAACUUUGGUAUAUUAUUGCACACAGAACCUAUAAAUAGUAACCUUAGAUUAGACAAUUUGUGAGAAAUAUACCAGACAUGGUUUAUUCCCUACCCUUUACUACAUUUUUUACAAACUUUACCUCAUUGUUCUUAUGUGAUUUACAGACCACAUUAGAGCUUUUGUGCAGUUAACCUACUAAAAUAGCAAUCAAAUCUCCCCCAAAUCACAUGUAUAUCAUCAUAAAAAAGAAAGAACACAUUGGGUAGUGUAGCUUCAAAUUUACUGUCUCAAAACAGGAGUUUGGUCAACUUGGAGAAAUAUGGUAAUGCUAGCAUCCAGCUGCACCAGAGACCUCGGAUUGUCACAGUAUUUCUGAACCCAGCUGUCAGUCGAGGCAAAGGUGUGAAAAUGUUUGAGAAAAAUGCAGCACCAUUGCUUCACCUUGCUGGUAUUGUGGUCAACGUUGUGAAGGUCAGUAGCAUAUCUCAUGUUGUAGUUUUAAAGACAAUUCCUAUUUAAUCUGUUACAUUUAGCUGUCAUAUGUGUGUGACCGGCAAAUUCCACUACGGAAAAUUUCACUGCAGUAUAUUCCACUAAAGUAAAUUCCACUCAGAAAAUAACAGUCUAUAGCAACUAAUUACACAUGCCCUUGUUACACACUUCUUAACUAAUUAGUUGUUAGUUAAAUUCCACUUGGAAAAUUUCACUGUAGGUAAAAUUCACUCCAGUAUAUUCCACUAAGGUAAAUUUGACUACAGUAAACAGUCUAUAGAAAACUAAUUACACACGCCCCUGUUACACACUUCUCAAAUAAUUCUAAUUAGUCGUUAGUUAAAGUAUAGGUUUAUGCAACUGAAUUUCACUGUAUUGCUAAUUUUUUUCUAUUCAGUUUAACUUUGAAACCCUCUGCCAUAGCAACAUUUAUAACAUCAGAGAAGAACAAACAUAAGCUUUGCAAUGAAGAGAAUCAUAUAUACGCAAAGAAUGGAUUCAACAGUAGCAAAAUAAAAAUAUAUUGGCAUUGUGAAUGUUAUUACAAAGGUUGCCGGGAUACAUUACUACAACUUUCAACUCCAGUAUACCAGAAGUUACUUUUUCAACAGGCUCCCACAAUCACUCAGCAAGCAGUGCACACAUUAAUGUUUGAAAGGCAGUUAAUUCAAUGAAAAGUGAAGUAAUGAGAACAGGCACAGUAUCUACAUGGGAAGUAAUAGCUACUGCUGUACAAAAUCUCAAUGCGGAAGCACAAUCAUUGUUGCAAACUAUUCCUGGACUUUCACGUAACAUACAUAAUUGGAGGUAGCAUGCUUUAGGAAUCCCAGCACUUCCAACUUGUCGUUCAGAGUUUGAAAUUCGAGAUGCAGUUAAGUACUUAGAAAAUGGGUUCUUGUUUUUGGUCAUUGGCAUUGAUGACUCAGACAAAAUUUUAUUUUUUUCCUAAAAAAAAGGCUCGGAUGAUCAAGAAAGCUCUGAAAAUUGGGCCUGUGAAAAUUGGGCUUUUAAGGUGUCUCCUGGUUUGUGGUGUCAGCUUUCAUGCUACAUAUCAUUAUUUGAGGGUCAUGUGUGCCCAGGCUAUUUGCCUUACUUCCUGACAAUAAGAAGCCUCAUAUCAUUGUGUUCUGUCUGCUGUGCAGGAUUUAAAGGUAAAUUGUUAACCUGCUACCUGUCUCAUAGACUUUGAUAAAGCUCUCCAUAAUUAAUUUGUUUCUGUAUUUCCGCAUUUAGAAGUAGUUGGGUGUGUUUUUCAUCUCAGACAGUCUAUUUGGCAGAAGGUAUGUGCACUUGGUGAGAGUAAGAGAUACAACACAGAUGAAAGUUUUUAGCUUAAAAUUGUUUUUGUGUUUUAGCAUUUUUACCAAUUGAAGAUGUUGUCAGUGGAUUUCAAGAUUUGUCUGAUGAUGAAAGCAUCCCUUCUUAGUUUAUCACUUACUUUGAGAAUUCAUACAUUGGGACUGUAAGGGGGCGUGGUCUUCAUCGAUGAAGAGAAAUCCCCCAGUUUCCUAUCCAACCCUGGAAUAUAUGCAACCACAUUUUAAAUGACUUGCCAAGAGCAAAUAAUUUGGUAGAAGGGUUCCACAAUGCUUUGCGGUCAUCGAUAACAUCCACACAUCCAAAUUUGUGGAAACUUUGCAAUGCCUUUAAGACUGAAGAAGACUUAAGCCAGACAAAAAUUGCACACAAAUGAUUGAUACACGACUAAAGAAGCUAUACCGGAGCCUUUCUCUGUCUCCAUACCCUUAAUUGCUUUAUCUACCAAGGUACUGUCAAUUUGAAUAGCUGGUCCCUCUGUUGGGUCAACAUUUGGCAAACUCUCUUUCUCCCAUUCAUUCUCUUCAUUUAGCAACUUUUCAUAACGGCAUC